rnacentral:lncRNA from 1 species
CUAUCCCCCCUUUACAAAACCCAUGAAAACUUCCCUCCCUGGGCCUUCAAGAGCCGACAUUUUGAGGAAUAAUUGAUUCCUUGUCAGUGCCCAUUUGAUGUUAAAUAAAUCUGCUUCCAAAUCCUGGGAGUCAUUUUGGUAUUUCUGUUUGCUGUAGAAUGUGAUGUGUCAGCCAGAAAAACUGACAGUAUUGACCUCUUUGGUUACUGGUCAUGGCCUUCAUGAACAGAGCAAGGUCCUCUCCAGGUCCUGACAGGAAGGUGCACCCUGGAGAUUUCUCAAGUCCUCUCAGAGGUCUGGAGGGGGAUUCUCAGAUUCCCAUUCGAGCAGCUCACACUGGACCCAAAAGGGAGGAGGACACACUCUGGAUUGAUCAUCAGUUAAGGCUCUGCAGAUGCUGCCCUGAUCUCUAA